rnacentral:lncRNA from 1 species
UUCUGAUCUCUCACUGAGCAGUCUUUCCUUUCACCCCAAAGUGUCCCCUUCUCAGAUCUUCCCCCACACACUGCAGGCAUUCCCCUCGCCGCCGUCCUUCUCUUUUUAGUUUUUCUUUAUGUUGAUCUUUUACUUCUUUUACCCGUUGCUGCUUUUUACUUUGCUAGCAGAGAUCCCCUCCUCAUCCCCGUUUUCUUUUUUCCAUCUUUUCCUUCGCGCUUUCGGCCUCGCCCCUUUCUCCAGGUCUUCAUUCACCCCUCUUUCCUGUAUUUGCUUCUUCCUUCCCAUUUCCACUUUCUUAAGCCCCAUCCCUAACAAUUCAAUCAAGACUGCCUGACAUCCCUCCUCCCUUUCUCAGGCACUUUUCAAAUCUCCAACCACCUUCCGCCCCCUCCUCCUUCACUCCUGUCCCCCUCUUUCUCUCCUUCCUUUUCCUGAACCCCCGCUCUUUCACUCCUCUCCCUACUUUCCGCUUCGUCUCCCCUCCCCCACUCCCUGCUUUACACCAGCCGGAGAUGAGCUCAUUGGAGUCAGGCCAAGCAGAGAAAAAGCCGGAAGACUCAGGGAGGGCUAGUUUGGGGUUUGGGGAAGUGCUAGGAAAGGCUGGGUCGGAAUUUUGGUUGCUUGUUCUAAAAGGGGGAUCCUGCCAGACGCCCUGUCUUAUAUGUUGGGGACUUCUCUUUGCAACGGCCAGGGAAGAAGAUCAGAAAGGUGAAGGACACCAUUGGAGUUACGGAACUCAGAAAAUUGUCUUUGGGAACAAUUCCACAGGCAUAAUUGCUCAACAGACUUCAGAUAUCAAGUUAUUGACCCAUCCCCAGACUUAGACAUGGAGUCUCUGCUUUUUUCAAGAACCAUUAUUCAUCAGUACUACCACUUUGACCAUGAUGCUCCCAAGCCAAACCUGGCCUGAAAAGGCAUGGUCCAACUUUAUCUGACUAGAACUUGCCAUAUUUUGCUGCUUUACAAGGAUGCUGCUUUACUUUCUGAUCACAUGAUCAGAAAGACUCCUGUCAUUGGGAAUUGAAUGGAGCCUAAUGAAUGGAAGUCACAAUGUGAUCUCUAAGUUUUGUUCUGAAUUAGACAUAUUCACUCUGUCUAAGGAGAAACCUGGCAGCAGUUCAAAGUGGGCAAAAAUGGAAAGGGAUGCUUUUGGGAGGAGUGAAUUUCCUCUUAAUGGAUGUCUCAAAGGUCAAGAUGGAUAAUUCUUUGUGGCAGUUACUAUAAGGGAUGCUUUGGAAAAGUCUGACUAGAUGAUCUCUGAAGGUCCAUAUUCCUUGGAAGGAUUUUAUCAUUUCAAUGUAAAGGCAUUCCAGUUUUUAUAAUCAUUGCUGGCCUGGUAUUGUGCUUUAAGACUUGUAAGGUAUUUUACAUGAUGUCUUAUUUAAUUCUCACAACCCCCUGGGAGGUAUGUGCUAUUACUAUUUCAGUUUUUUAGGUUGGGCUUUUCCAACCCCCAAAGUGAGAGGGUCCUAUUGCUAGUAAGUAUCUGAAAGAGGAUUUGAACUCAGGUCUUUUGAAAUCAAAUAACAAUCAUUUAUCCAUGAUAUCACUGAGCUGCCAGUUGAAUUGUAUUGCAUUAGUUGAAAAAAAAUGGUCUGUGGAAAGUGUUUCUUUUAGAAGCAUGCUUCUUAUGGUAACACUCUGGAUCAAUUCACUAGAGAAUUGAAUGUACAAGAAGACAUUAGAUUAAAAAAAUAGGAAAAUUAAAAAAGGAAAACAAGGAGUCUUUGGUGUCAUGUCAUCCCUUUUCACAUUUCAUGUUCAUAUUUAAAACUCACUCCAAGGGCCCAUAAAGCACUGAUCCCCAGCCCUAAUGAUUUCCUGCAGGUCCCCUGGAAAGCAUUAGAAAAAUGUUUCUCUGUAAUAGGCUAUUCGGGGAAGACAAAAUCAAUAGUUUUUAAGAAGACAUUUUGCAGAUGCAGUAUUUAUAUUGUCCAACUGCCCCUUGUUUCUUGUCCAUCUCCUCUGAAAAAUGGCCCCGUGGUAAUUGUCCAUUAUGUAAGGACAGAUAUUGGCAUGCACAGUCCAAGAUGUAUUCAAGGAAAGAAGUGGGGAUAGCAAUAAAUUUCUGAUGGAGGUCCA